rnacentral:rRNA from 1 species
AUACGUAGGGGGCGAGCGUUGUCCGGAAUGAUUGGGCGUAAAGGGCGCGUAGGCGGCCCGGUAAGUCUGGAGUGAAAGUCCUGUUUUUAAGAUGGGAAUUGCUUUGGAUACUGUCGGGCUUGAGUGCAGGAGAGGUAAGUGGAAUUCCCAGUGUAGCGGUGAAAUGCGUAGAGAUUGGGAGGAACACCAGUGGCGAAGGCGACUGACUGGACUGUAACUGACGCUGAGGCGCGAAAGUGUGGGGAGCAAACGGGAUUAGAUACCCUGGUAGUCCACACUGUAAACGAUGAAUGCUAGGUGUAGGGGGUAUCGACCCCUGCUGUGCCGCAGUCAACACAAGAAUCAUUCCGCCUGGGGAGUACGGCCGCAAGGUUGAAACUCAAAUGAAUUGACGGGG